GGUGUGAUACAUUAUACUGGCGGUCGGAUGACUGACACCGGCAUCCUGCCAAUUAGAAUGCUGACAGGGGACUGGGGGCAUUGCAACAGUACAGAAAUCUCGGCAACAGCAGCAGAACCCGCCCACCUCGCAGAACCAUCUCGCCUCAGAUUUUUAUAUGCAGCCAUAUUGGAGGCUAUGAGCAAAAAUCUGCAAGCUACCAUAAGUACGCUACUUCCACUGACUGGACCUGUCUCAGCGGUUCUCAGCGUUACAAGAUGGACAGGGCGUUCGCACCUUUCAAUAGGCCUGGCAGUGUCUAGGCCUCUGGUUCUCUGUACUCCAGUAGCACUCUGCUGCCUCAGUUCUGCUCUGCAGCGCUGCUUUCACCCACCCAGCGUUGUUCCAUAAAUAUGUCAACUUACAUUUACUUUACCAAUGAUGUG